rnacentral:lncRNA from 1 species
UUCAAACGCAAUUUCCACCCGACGGUGACGGCGAGGAACUACACCUUGUCGUCGCCGUGAUAAAUAUAAAUUUUCAUGCAGUGUAUUUAUUUUGGGCUUGUGUUGCAGACGCUGUUCCUAAGAGGGUUCUUGAGUUGAUGAACGUUCCUGGACUCACACGAGAGAACGUUGCUAGUCACUUGCAGAAAUACAGGAUUUCAUUGAAAAGGAUGAUGAUUCAUGACGGUGAUCCAAUAGAAGCCACCUCUACCUCAAUAUUGCAAUUCACGGCGCCCAACCUCGUCCCGCCGGAGCACCCCUUUUUCGCCAGUGUUGUGUCUUCUUCUUCUAGGUACUUGGAUUGCUGGUCACCGUUUGACAAUACCUUUGGGUUUGGCAUGAUUCCACAUCAGUCAUUGGCUUCCCAUCAGUAUCAAUAUCAGUAUCAAUAAUAAUAUUCAUCAAAACCUGCACCCUGCAUUUUUUUUCUUCUUCAUCAGCCCUUUUGAGCUAUGAAUAAAGGUUGAUUAUUGAUAACAAUGAAUCACUUUAACAAUUUGCAGUUCUGGGUUACCAGUUUUGAAGACGAUUGUUACUAAUUAAAAAAUUGAUUUUUAUAGAACAAUUGAAGACGAUUGUUGCUUAUAAUAUAAGACUAUUUCAAUUUACCAAUCAUCGGAUUAAAACAAACGUACCCAUCCGAAUUCGUCUGGAUAAAGCCUAAAAAGACACGGGUGAUAUGACUCCCGUGAACAAUUAAACGUCGACAACGUCAGAGCGCCAGUCGAGCCAGAGGAAGAAGACCUAAUUUCAGUCGAGCUGUUGGGCGGUAACGAACCGGAGUUCAGCCGGAAGAUUCACCGUAAUAAAUGCGUGCACACCUGGCUGGAUGAGGGAUUUCGACUUUAGUCGAACCUAAAUCCCUAAUUUUUAUUUUGUGGUUUUAUUAAAAGAACCCUGUAGUUUUUUAAUUUUACAAAUCAUGUAACUGCUAUAAAACACUGUUUAGUAAUCGGGUUACAAGUCACCGCGUCAGAAAUAAGACUUAUGACCCGACCCUAGCGAAAAAUUGGACUAACGUUUUAAUAAAAGUUGGACUAACGCGAACUGAACCCGAACUUUGAAAUAGAUUCGUUUAAUUAAACUGAACCUUGGUUGAGGUUCGACUAACGC